ensembl:lncRNA
CAUGUUUUUGUCUCAAUUUACUGUUUACUUGUUAUAUAUAUUGCCUGUUCAGAACUGAAAACAUUUAAGAAACUAGUAGUUCUAGGGCUGUAUUGGGGUCUCUCUCUCUCUCUUUCAUAAAGUAGAGUGGUAAGGCUUGCUGCCUUCUGUCUUGGUCAAUUUGUAACAGAGUCCUGUGGGAUGCAGCCCUUAGCAUUACCCUGCAGCCCGGUACCCCUAGUGGCCCUGCUCAGCCACUGGUUGGUGCCACAGCGGCCCCUCCCACAAGCGACCAACUGUCAGAGAGCAACCGUUAGUGGUCCUGCUCAGCCACUGGUCAGUGCCACGCGGGCCCCUCCCACAAGCAACUGUCAGUGAGCUACCGUCAGUGGCCUGUUCAGUCAGCUGUAGGCAAAGUGGUGGUCCUCAGGCGAAGAGUGAGACUAGAGGUGGAUCCUGGCUUCUCCCGGGGCUCACCCUGCCUAGGGCCAGGGGGUGAACAGGUGGCCCAGGAAACAGUCUGAAGGUGGUGUUCUGUAGGGCUCCAGAGCCCCCACCAAGGCCGCCCUGUUGCUGGGCCGGGCCCUGAGGUGGCAGUGAACUUCUCCCCCAUUCCUGCCUCUGCCCCCUCAUGGAAGCCACCGUCUGCAUAGAACGCGGUCUGUGGGAUUGAUCCCUGCCUCUGGGCAGCCUGAGGAGCUUGCGAGAGGGCUGUGUCCCGGGCGUUUCACUCCUUCAUGGAUGCCAUUUGGUCAGGGUCUGGGGACCUGGCCCUGAGGGAGCCACUAGCUGAGCUCUGCCUCCUCUCAAGCCAGGACGGGACCUCAGAGAAAGUUGUGCCUGUCGUGCCUGAGGGCCUGGUUGUUUCUCCUCAGAACCAGGAAUAACACUUGUUUAGCGCAGAUUUACAGGAACAUCAUUACCUGACCAGGACUUGACCUUGGGAAAGGCUCCACGACACCAAGGAGUUUAGACACCUCAUCAUGCCCCUCCCUCCCCUUUCCUAGAAAAGGCCUCUGCUGAGAGCUUUUGGGGAGUCUGGGGUUUAGGAGCUGAGCCACCUGUCUCCUCAGUGGCCCUACACGAAAUCUUCCUCUGCACCAAAAGCAGACAUUUCAGUAUCUUUUGGCCCCACUGGGCCAUGGGGCCCAGAUACUUGUGUUUCAAUAACACAUGAAGGCAGAGACCCUCCCUCCACCCUCUAAAGUCCCUUCCCCACUCUGGGUCCUCCUCUAAGAAUGUGGCUUCUCAAAAGGGAAGGAGACCCAGGGUGACGGGGCAGCACGGGUGGAGUGGGACCCAGUCUCCUGACCAGACUCGGACUGACGGGCCUGUGUCUGGGGAUGGGAUCGGGCCAGCAUCCUGACCAAAGCCGCCAUCCUGGGGGGAGCCAGUCACACUUUGGGCUAAGACCUGCCCAGCAGGACCUCGGCCUUCAGGGGAACAGGGCCGGCAGAAUGCAGAUGCCCCAUCCUGGUUGCUACGGGCCUGCCUCACCGGGCAGAGGAUACGCAGCUACCUGGUGGGAACAGAGGACCCAGCCCAGAGGAGGAUGCUGCCUCCCCACGCAGAUCUGGAGGGGAGCCUGUGGGCGGGAAAGGUGAGGGGGCGGCAAGCGGAUGGUCUUGGUAGGCCAGGCGGGCUCUGGGACAAGGCUGGGGACAGGGCUGGAAUCCCCUAGGGCCUGUGGCCAGUCACCCUGUUUAAAGUUGGGGUCCAUAUGGGGAAUGCUGUGGCUUCCUCCCACGGAAGACCCAUCUGGACCUGCGCCCUGUUCUCUGGGCCUUAGCUGGCCCCCGAGGUGGGCACACACCUCAGGGAGCGUCACUGUAACCGGUUGGGGUCAGCCUCUCCAUGUCUCUUGCCCUGCCCUUUCAGUGUCUAUCAGCGUUUUCCUUCUUAUGUCCAAUUCCUUUCCAGUCUCAUUCUUUGCUUUCCACGGUCACAGUUGCCUCUCUGGAUUCAUGCUAAUAUGUUAAGAGUAUGAAUAAAUUCCAUUUAAUCCAUUUCAUUUGAGUUUAAUUCGGCAAAUAUUUAUGGAGCAAUAGCACGUACCCAGCCCUAGAGGAAAACUCCAAUUUAAACAAAAUACAGCCCCUCAAGACUUUACACAACCAGCACGGUUUUUCCUCAAAGGAAAAAUGAGAUUUUUUAAAUUUUAAUAAUAGUUUAUUUAUGUUAAUGUUCUCUGGAAAUCUAACAAGCACAGCAAAUCGAUGAUUUCAUGAUUACUGUUGUUUAGGAUGAGGCUAAAGAAGGUAGUAUGUCUAUUUAAAGAAAAAAAUUUAACAAAAGAAAUGACAAGAAUCUGUGCAGGUGAUGUACUCAUUACUAAUUGUUAGGAAACAGAAGCUCAAUAAUAGAGAAAGAUGUGUAUCCAAAGGCACGUACCCCAUCCAAAGGGAGGGUAAAAUUACUUCUGGCUUUGGGGAUAAGGAAGAUGUCAGGGAGGAAGUGUCAUAUGACAUGGGCCUUCAAGGAUCUCUCAGAGUUUUUCUAAGAUUAUAUGAAGUGGAGGCCACCCCACAUAGAGGAACCUGCACACUAAGCCACACAAGUGAUUAAAGUAAACGGGGUCUGAGGAGCAGGAAUAGGAUGAAUGCUGGACAGUGAGGUUGGAAAUAGAUGAUGAGGAGUCAAAAAUUAGGGACUUCCCUGGCAAUCCAGUUGUCAAGACUUUGAACUCUCACUGCCAAGGACCUGAGUUCAAUCCCUGAUUGGGGAACUAAGAUUCCCUAAGCUGCGUGGUGGGGGAGAAAAUCAGUUUUGUUCUUUUUGCUGUUGUGACCUAUGUAGAUAAUAUAUCCAAAGCUUUCUUCAGAGUGUGGAUCGUCAUAGAGAGGGCAAGAGUAGUUGAUGGGUUGGGAGGCCGAUUUGUUGGAAUAUGGCUGGCAUCUAGAACAAUGACAGAUGAUAGUAUUGGAGAGCAUCUUCUGAAUAAGCACAAUCUGUGCAUUGUGAAGCUUUUGUUACCUAAGUGUGCACUGAGUCAUGAUGUCAAAUGGAUCCGAAAAGUCUGAAACGAGCUGACCCCAUGUGAUCAGACUUCCCCAUGUGAUGUCACCUGCAGCGCAGGAGACACAGGAGACUUGGGCUCGACCCCUGGGUCAGGAAGAUCUCCCAGAGGAGGAAAAUGGCAGCCACUCCAGUAUUCCUGCCUGAAAAACCCCAUGGACAGAGGAGCCUGAUGGGUUACGAGUCCAAAGGGUCACAAAGAGUCGGACAUGACUGAGCGACUAAGCACGCACGCAUCAUAAGACUUUCAGCUUGUGAGGACCUUCAGGAGCAGUCUCUUUCUGGUCACCUCUGGCUCAGAGGUUAAAGCAUCUGCCUGCAAUGCGGGACACCUAGGUUCAAUCCCUGGGUCGCGAAGAUCCCCUGGAGAAGGAAAUGGCACCCCACUCCAGUAUUCUUGCCUGCAGAAUCCCAUGGACAGAGGAGCCUGGCGGGCUACAGUCCACGGGGUUGCAAAGAGUCAGACAUGACUCUGUGACUUCAUUUUCACUUUUUUUCCACUUUCUCAAGUCUGCUUAGCCAUGUAGGUUGUACUCUCACUUUCACUUUGCCCAUCAAAUCCUUUUUCAGUCUUCCAGGCUUCUGUGAGGAAGUCUCAGGCGUUGUCAGAGGUUGUGGGACGUUUCCUGGUUAAGGGCGAGUUUUUCACUGACUGCAGCCAGCCGGGUUGAUGUUCCUUUGCUGACUCGAAUAGCCAGCUUGGAGCUGCAAUGACCCAGGCCAUACUACUUGUGGCCAGGCGGCUGCCUCUGAGGCCUGAGGCUCCCCUGUCACUGUCUCGGAAUAGUGACAGGCUCUGGAGCUCCUGGCGUGAAGUCUGUGUGGGCUGGUGCAAGUCCAGGCUAUACAGGAGCAUGUUGGAUGCUGCCACUUCAAAGUAAGAGGCAUGGCUUCAAUGACACAUAUUUAAAUAGUUGUGGGAAAACAGGCACCCGGCAGCUAUUUUUAAUUUGUGUUAAAACUAGAACCAGAGUUGCUCAUAGAGUACUGGCUUUGGAUAUAGGAGAUGAAGACUUUUUCAGCUUUACCAUGGAGUUCCUUGGUAAACUGUCUUCUCUCAUCCUCAGCUUCCCCACUGUAAUGAAAACGGGUGACUGUUGGGGUUCUAAGACCCUUUCCGGCUCCGUCCUUCUCUGUCUCUUUCUCCAUCGCCUUAUUCUUGGGACAGCUUUGUUGCUUGUUCUUAUGUUCUCACUCCUCCCUCCGAUGCUGGUGGCAAAUAGAGGAAAUCCAUCCUGGCUUUUCCCUGCUGAGAGGCUCAGCAUCCUUCUCAACACAGUACUCAGCCGCUGCAGCUGAUCUGCUCUGUGUGCACGUGCAAGGUCAGCUUUGCCAUUCUGAUUUGCUAAGGCUGGCAGAAGCAUUUCUCUUCUCUCUCUAUUUUUUAACCACUAAGAGGCCGUAGAAUCUACCCAAGCAGCUGGAAAAGCAGCAAGGUAUUCAUUUUAGAUUAAUUUACAGAAGCAAACUGGGAAAUGCUUGCGCUGCUCCUUGCAACAAAUUUGAAUCUCUUAAAAGCUUGUAUAAGCUAUAGAGUAUCCCCGUGGUAGGAAGUCUUUAAUACUCACUGAAGGAAGGAAGAAGUUUGACUCUUGAAAUGGCGCCAUACUUUUAGCCUUAUAACAUAUAAUACCUUCAAGUAAAGUAAAAGUAACCCCAAGUAAAGAAGAAUUCAAAGUUCACUCUUACGGGACCAGUUACUUGGGUUGAAACAAUUCACUCUGAUUUUUUAGACUCUGUGGAGAAGAGACACGAGUGACGGUGGGCAUUAGAGGUCUGGACGUCCAUGCCCUUCCCAUCUACCCAUCUGCCUGUGUUCUCUUGGGAGCUGGCUAGGGCCCACGGGCAGAGAGGGGGGCAACAGAAAAGAAAGCCGGUACCAGGCCCUGGUGCCAGCAUUUGCUCGGAAAGUUAAUCAACCUCCCUGUGCCUUAGUUUCCUGAUCUGUAAAAUGGGGACUAUACUAGUAUCUCCCUCACAGAGUUGUUAUGAAGAUGAAUGGGAAACACUCAUGUAAAGUACCCAGCAACUGGCACAUAAUAAAUUCAACGAAGGUUAGAUGUUAGUGGCAGUGCUGCCUAAGGCUACGGUAAUUGAAGUGGAAGCCACUUUCUAGUCUUCCUGCUCCUUUUUGUAAUUGUUCAGUUGUUCAGCCAUGUCUGACUCUUUGCAACCCCAUGGACGGCAGCAAGCCAGGCUUCCCUGUCCCCCACCGUCUCCUGGAGUUUGCUCUAACUCUUGUCCACUGAGUAGAGUGAUGCUGUCCAAGCAACUCAUCCUCUGUCACCUCCUUCUCCUCCUGCCCUCAAUCUUUCCCAGCAUCAGGGUCUGUUCCAGUGAGUCGGCUCUUCACAUCAGGUGGCCAAAAUAUCAAAAUAUUGGAGGUCCAGCUUCAUCAGUCCUUCCAAUGAGUAUUCAGGGUUGAUUUCCUGCUCCUUAAAUGGCUAAAAAGACAGGCUUUUUUUUUUUAAGCCUUGGUUUAUUGUGGAUUUUAAAGUUUCUGGCAGAAUCACACAGGCCUUUUUUUUUUUUUUUUUUAACUCUUCUUCCCAUGGUUAUGAUCUUGUGUUACACAAGAAAAAGACUGCUUUCACAAUGUAGGCUCCCUGGAGAAUGCCCUAUAGCCCCGCUGUUUCCUCUUCCUUAGGACCUUCUACCAUGGGAGCCCCUAAAUUUCAACCUGGAAAACUCCUCAAAUCUUCUGCAAUACCAUCUCCUUUAGAAUCUUAAGACUACAGGAUUGUAACUGUCUGUUUUCUGAAGCUAUAGAGACAGCAACUCAAGGAACAGAUUUUCAAAAGGAUACUUUAUUUGAUUAAUUAGUCAAUUCCCUUGUCGUAGAUGUGAAAUUACCCCUAAACCAUCCAGACUGAGGAGACUCUACAGUGAGAAGCAAUGAGCUGCUGGGGUGGAACAAUAGGAGUGCUGAUUUGCAUUGCAAAUGAGCAACCAGCAGGCAAAUGAAUCCUUAUGGGAAAGCCACUGUUAUCAUAAAAACUGCUUGCUUUGGGGAGACUGCAGUGUAAGGACAAACAGAAUCAGAGCUCCAUGAAUCCUCCCCAAUACAGGAUCUUAGAGAAUUAUCCAGGUAGCUCUCUCCAAAAUUGCAUAUGUACACACCAAAAUGCAUUGCUGGGCAAUAGAUAAUAUGUUUAAAACUAGACUCCACAAUUAUGGACUGAGUUAUUUAUGGUUGUCACUAUAGCUAUGAUAGUUUGGAAAUAAAAUAGUCCGGCUUUUCUCUGUUUUUAUUUGUAGGAAAACAAGUCAUUCAAGCUUUUUAGUGAUACAAUGUGACUGGCUGUCGAUGGCAGUUACAAAUUUUCAAGCCCUGCCAAGCACAGGAAUACCCAGAAGGGACAUAUGUUUUCUCUGCUUUGUGUUCCAAAUCUGCCUUAAAAACAUGCAAUUAAGUGAAGGCCUGAUUUAUAUUUUCAAGGAAAAACACAAUAAUGGCUCUGUUUUGUAGCUGUAUUUCUAUUGCUGCCUUUUCAAAUGAAAUUGGUUAAUGAUCACUGGGUCUUUGCUCUCGGUCAUGACGUAUGAAAAUUUGAUGAGGUCUGUGAGAUUUAAGAACUGACUUCAUUUAAGCAAUGGAAAUUCAGUGAACAUCACUGGUACUGCCACCCUGAAAAAUCUUGUGUGGUAAGAGUGUUCAUUCACGUCCUUAUUUUUGUGGACAGUGGGAGAAGGGAGACAGGAAGCAGGUGUAUUUGUAACCAGGAAGCAAAGAUGGAAUGGAAUGACCAGGAUAACAAAGAGCAAACUUUGGAAGGUACCAGAGUCUGUAGGUGUGUCAGGAGAGUAAGUAGGAGGCAGGGUGAGUAGGACAUUGUGGGGAGAUGGAGGGAUGGCUCUGGGGAGAAGUUAUGAAGGGAGAAAGCAAGCCUUUUCGGUCACAUUUUAUACUUAAUUGAAAAUUGCUGUAAAACCUUUUAUAAAUUAUAUAAUCACCAGCUUUGAUUUCACACCCUUCUUUAGUAUUACUAAUGACGACAUUCACUUUAUUUUCUCAGAAGCAUUUCUAGUAAAUUUAAGAUGAGAAGAUGAAUUAGAGUCUCUCUAGAUUGGGGAGCCCCCUCCUGGGAAGGAGGCAAUUUUUUGCUAUUUGUUCUUUUCAGUAAUGGAGGCAGAAAAAGAUGGAAAGGCCAAUUUCACAUAAUAAGGUGGUUAGUGGACAGAUCAUGAUUAUGGUAUAGAUUUCAGGAAAUUUUGAAGCUAGAGAGAAAAAAUAUUCAGGAGCACUAGAAAGACAGAAGUUAUACAGUAAGGAUAACAUAUCUGCAAUAUGUUUUGAUUGCUGUGUACAAAUCCAGAUCCACCACUUUCUAGGAAUAUGCUUUUAGGAUUAUAAAUUUGAGACUAAAUGUCUGAUGUAACAUAUAGACUCAUAAAGUAUAUUGUAUCUUAAAUAUAAUUGUAAAGGCUUAGAGAAUACAGUAUGAAAAUUUUAAAUAAUAUCAUGUUUUCCCAUAAUAUUCCAACCUUAUGGGGAAUAAUUUUCAAAUCUUUAAAAAUUAUUUCACACAAAAGACACAUGUACACCGAUGUUCAUCACAACACAAUUUUCAAUAGCUAGGACAUGGAAGCAACCUAGAUGUCUAUCAACAGAUGAAUGUAUAAAUAAGCUGUGGUACAUAUAAAACAAUAGAAUAAAAAGGAACUCAGCCAUAAAAAGGAGCACAUUUGGUUAGUGAGAGUGAGGUAGAUGAACUUAGAGCCUAUUAUGCAGAGUGAAGGAAGUCAGAAGGAGAAAGGCUAAUGUUGUAUAUUAAUACAUAUAUGUGGAAUCUGGAAAGAUGGUACUGAUGAAUCUGUCUGCAGGGCAGCAAUGGAGAUGCAGACAUAGAAAACAGGCCUGUGGACACAGGCAGGGAAGGAGAGGGUGGGGUGAAUUGAGAGGGUCGCACUGAAACACAUACGUUACCACGUGUAAACUUACACCGCCAGUGGAGAUUGCUGUGUGACGCGGGGAGCCCAUAUCCAGUGCUCUGUAACAACCUAGAUGGGGGAGAUGGGGUGGGAGGCGGGAGGGAGGUUCAAGAGGGAGGCGAUAUAUAUAUAUACACCUAUGGCUGACUCAAGUUGAUAUGUGGCAGAAACCAAAACAAUAUUGUAAAGCAAUUAUCCUCCAAUCAAAGAUAGACAAAGAUAAAAUUUUUAAAAAUUGUUUCACCCUCUGGAAGUCCCAUCUGGGGUAGAAGAUUAGAAGUCACAUGCUCUUAGAGGGUACUAUCUUCUUGUUUGGUCUUGUGGGUGAGCCUGGUACACUCACUGCUUUUGUGGAUGUUGGAGAAGGCUUAGUCUAAGCAAGCGAUGAAUUAAUUCGGGGUAAUAUCUUUUACUGGGGAGGAGAAAUAGCCCCUCAGUUUGAUGGAAUCAUCCUUUACAUGUAUUUAAAUACUGUUAGGGUCUUUCUCUUGGUCAGUUUUUUUAAACAUUACCUCCCAGGUUCCGGUCUUGCCAGAAGAGCCUUACAGGGAAAUUUUAAGUGGAAACUACAGCUGGAGUGCUUUCCCAUUCUAGCGCUAGGGUUUCCAAUUUUGUUCCUGAGUGAAAGCAAGUUAAAAAGUAAUUAUUGAGUCAUUUAAGACAGAAUUUGGCAGGUGCUUCAAUUUUACAAGACGGUAGAGCUCCCUGUAGCUUUGGUGUCAGCCUGAGUUUUAUGGUAAAGCCCACCACCCUAGAAGCUUGAGGUGAUCACAGAAAUUUCAGAAGAUGAUCCCAUCAAGGAAAUGCUGAUUUUCUGCUUGGCUAUCUUCCUCUGGCCUCGUGAGACAGUGCAAGAACAUCAGAGCUUAGUUUGGCUCUAUCCACUAUGACAAUUUAUUCAUUCUUUAUAAGCCAGAAGUUUAACAAUUUUUAUUUAUAAAGGCCAAACUCUUUGUGAACCUAUGGACUGUAGCCCACCAGCCUCCUCUAUCCAUGGAAUUCUCCAGGCAAAAUAUUGGAGUGGGUUUCCAUUCCCUUCUCCAGGGGCUCUUCCCAACCCAGGGAUCAAACCCAGGUCUCCUGCAUUGCAGGCAGCUUCUUUACUGUCUGAGCCACCAGGAAAGCCCCAGCCAAACUGCUGAGAUAAUAGUUAUAAGACUGGAGGGUGAGGUAGAGGCAUUCUCUGGGGGUCUGUUUAUUGAACUAAGGAUGGCCUACUGAAGGUUAAUGAAAUUCCCUAACACCAAGAGUACCAAGAGUCUCUGGCAACAGCUUCAGAGAAUUUACCCCAGGAAAAGGGGUCAGUUCCCCCGAGGUCUCCUGCUGGUUCAGCCUAGAUGAAAUGGACCUGGAGCAAAGGAUGUGACGUGACACAAGGCAGUUCUAAUGCGUUGGACUCCUGAGAGGGAAAAGAGCAUCUUUGGAAUGUGAUCCGGCAGAAUAUUUUCAGUCUUUCUUUUCUGGUAUCAGUCCAGCUCCUGAUCUUUUCUCUCCCAAGUCAAUGCCUGUCCUCUUCUUUCCUUCCACCACCUUGCCACCUCUUCCUUCCCGCCCAGUUGGGCCAAGCCUGCCCCAGAGCUAGGGGCUGAGGAAUCAGCUGAAUUGGAGUCGAGACUGGAACAAUGAAGGUUGGAAUAGCCUAAGUGUUACUCACAGGCUCAGCUACCCAUUGGCCUCCCAUAGACAGAGGAAUCACUGGUUUCCAGAAAUUGCAUUUUAUGGGCAUUCGUAUUCGUAUUAUAUGUUUUUAAUUUAUUUUCUUUUUGUUUUGAUGAGAUCGAACAUCAAGUGACUCCUGAAGAGCUACAGCACUUAAAUGCACUCUUUCAGGAGUAUGAGAAGAGAGGAAGACAGCUGCUGGAUAUGGAAACUUUCAAGUGCAUAAUGAAGCAGAGCACGAGGUCACGGAAGAAAAAUUCAGGACCAUGCCUGGCAUGUACAGGUGCCCAAAUAAAUGCUACAGAAUGAGUGAAUGACUUUAAGGCAAUGUAGUCAUCGUGGACUCAGUUGAGUAUGUCUUAGCAGAAGGAGAAGGGGAUAACAGAGGAUGAGAUGGUUGGAUGGCAUCACUGACUCAAUGGACAUGAGUUUGAGCAAACUCUGGGAGAUAGUGAAGGACAGGGAAGCCUAGAGUGCUGCAGCUCAUGGGGUCACAAAGAGUUGGACAUGACUGAGCGCCUGAACAACAGCAAUUUUCCUAGAAGUAGCUGCUGCUUCUUUUAAGCUGAUAGUGGUCUGCAGUUUCCUGUAACACAGAAGUUAUCUUUUGCACUACAUUGCUGACUCACCAUAACCCCAGUAGGCAGCAAAUGCCAUGAGGGCAAUAAGGCAUCUUUCAGCUCCGAAGCUACAACAUCCAGCACAAAGCCUGGCACACCACUGGUGCUCAACAAGUGAGCAAUGUGAGGCGGCAGUGGUCCAGUGUCCCUCACAUAGUCAUGCUGAGAAGGCAGUCCCCCGGGCAGGGGCAGAGGCUGUUCCUGUAAACACAGGCUUCCCAACUCUGCUCUGGCUGAUGGAAGAAGCUGGGUGUCUCUGGGCAGAGUUACAAUGCUGCAAGGCCAAGGGGUGGUCAUGUGACGGCCGGUGCACUGCCUGAGGGCCCACUCCCACCGUGGCCCUUGCCUGCUGGUGGCCAGGCAGACCCAUGCCUCUUCCAGACUCUGUUUUGUGGCGACAGGGGAGAACCAGGUGGGCAGCCUGAGCCCAGGCAGUGAUUGCCCUCCUCUUGAGCUUUUUUGUUUUCACUUCCCUCUCUGGUCCUAGUCUCUCAGGAAGCCACCCCUCCGGGUGUUUUGGUUUGUUUUCAUUCUAAAAGUAUUUGUUACAAACUAUGUGCAUAGUAUCACCUUGUUGCCAUGGUAAUGUCUGCACUGUAAGCCACACCCAGGAGUGCAGAGCAUGUCUCCUUGGGAGCAUGACUUAGAAGGAACUGGGCUGACCUUAGUCCACAGCCAGGGUGUCUCCUCAUGACCCCUACGCUGACACUGGGUAUUGACUCACCAUGGGGUGAUGCCCUGGUGUCUUGGAGAUCAGGCAUCAUCUCUUUUUCUCCAUUUCAGCUUCAUUACUGUGCAAAGGCAAACACCCCUGAGACUUGUAAGAGAAAAGCCAACAUCUCACUCCCCAAAAUAGACAUAAAACCUGACCAUCUCUAGCGAAGCUGCAAUUAUGGAAUCCUGGGUUUUGAGAGGACUUGAAAGGUCACUUAUAUAUUACCUCUUCAGUGGACAAAUUCUCUUUUCUGUGAGCCAGGAGCCUGCAUCUGCUCGAAUACCUUAAGUUAAAGGCAACUUCAGCUAACGGUAGCCCAUUUCCCAUUUCAAGGUUGGAGAGCUCUGACCUUAAUUUUUUCCCUUUAUGAACUGCAAUUGGUCUGUCUUGACUUUCUACCCAUUAGCCCACUUUCUAAUCUUUUGAACCACUCUAUAAGAAUACACAGAAGAACUGUACAAAAAAGAUCUUCGCGACCAAAUAAUCAUGAUUGUGUGAUCACUCACCUAGAGCCAGACAUCCUGGAAUGUGAAGUCCAGUGGGCCUUAGAAAGCAUCACUACGAACAAAGCUAGUGGAGGUGAUGGGAUUCCAGUUGAGCUGUGCUGCACUCAAUAUGCCAGCAAAUUUGGAAAACUCAGCAGUGGCCACAGGACAGGAAAAGGUCAGUUUUCAUUCCAGUCCCAAAGAAAGGCAAUGCCAAAGAAUGUUCAAACACAGCUGCUCUCAUCUCACACGCCUGUAAAGUAAUGCUCAAAAUUCUCCAAGCCAGGCUUUAGCAACAUGUGAACUGUGAACUUCCAGACAUUCAAGCUGGUUUUAGAAAAGGCAGAGGAACCAGAGAUCAAAUUGGCAACAUCUGAUGGAUCAUGGAAAAAGCAAGAGAGUUCCAGAAAAACAUCUAUUUCUGUUUUAUUGACUAUGCCAAAGCCUUUGACUGUGUGGAUCACAAUAAACUGUGGAAAAUUCUGAAAGAGAUGGGAAUAUCAGACUACCUGACCUGACUCUUGAGAAACCUGUAUGCAGGUCAGGAGGCAACAGUUAGAACUGGACAUGGAACAACAGACUGGUUCCAAAUAGGAAAAGGAGUACGUCAAGGCUGUAUAUUGUCACCCUGCUUAUUUAACUUCUAUGCAGAGUACAUCAUGAGAAACGCUGGGCUGGAGGAAGCACAAGCUGGAAUCAAGAUCGCUGGGAGAAAUAUCAAUAACCUGAGAUAUGCAGAUGACACCACCCUUGUGGCAGAAAGUGAAGAACUAAAAAGCCUCUUGAUGAAAGAGGAGAGUGAAAAAGUUGGCUUAAAGCUCAACAUUCAGAAAACGAAGAUCAUGGCAUCUGGUCCCAUCACUUCAUGGGAAAUAGAUGGGGAAACAGUGGAAACAGUGUCAGACUUUAUUUUUGGGGGGCUCUAAAAUCACUGCAGAUGGUGAUUGCAGUCAUGAAAUUAAAAGACGCUUACUCCUUGGAAGGAAAGUUAUGACCAACCUAGAUAGCAUAUUGAAAAACAGAUGUUACUUUGCCAACAAAGGUCUGUCUAGUCAAGGCUAUGGUUUUUCCAGUGGUCAUGUAUGGAUGUGAGAGCUGGACUGUGAAGAAAGCUGAGUGCCGAAGAAUUGAUGCUUUCGAACUGUGGUGUUGGAGAAGACUCUUGAGAGUCCCUUGGACUGCAAGGAGAUCCAACCAGUCCAUUCUAAAGGAGAUCAGUCCUAGGUGUUCAUUGGAAGGACUGAUGUUACAGCUGAAGCUCCAAUACUUUGGCCACCUCAUGUGAAGAGCUGACUCAUUGGAAAAGACUCUGAUGCUGGGAGGGAUUGGGGGCAGGAGGAGAAGGGGACGACAGAGGAUGAGAUGGCUGGAUGGCAUCACUGACUCGAUGGAUGUAAGUCUGAGUGAACUCUGGGAGUUGGUGAUGGACAGGGAGGCCUGGCGUGCUGUGAUUCUUGGGGUUGCAAAGAGUCGGACACGACUGAGCAACUGAACUGAACUGAACUGGUGAGUUAUCCAUUCCUAGCUACUCACUAGCUUAAAGCUACAUAUUAUUUCACAGUUUUUGUAAGUUAGGCAUCCAGUUGUGGCUUAGCUGGACUCUGUUUCAAGGUGUCUCAUGGGGCUGCAUCGAGGUAUUUAUAUGCUAGGGUCUCAUCUGAAGGCUUGACUAGGGAACAGUGCACUUCCAAGGACACAUGAUUGUUGUCAGGAUUCAGUUUCUUGCUGGUUGUUGGACUAAAGCCUCAGUUCCUUGAUGGCUGUUUGUCCAUUUCCAUGUAAGCAUCUCUACAUGGCAGCUCACAGCAUGGCCACUGGCUUCCUCAAAGCCAGCAAGGGAGAGAGAGCCUACCAGCAAGACAGAAGUUAUGAUCUCAUAUAACCAUAGAGGUGACAUCCCCUUGGGGUUGACGUACUCAACUAGCUACCAGCAGUUUCUCAAGGAGUCGGGGUUGGUAUUCAUCAGCCGUGAACACCAAACGGCAGGGAUCACGGGGUCCAUCUGCCUGGACUGCCACACAGAAGAAAUUUACUUUCUUUCCCACAGAAUCAUCCUUCCAAUACUUGAAAGUAACUUUCACAUCUUUCAUCUUGGCUAUAGUCAAGUUCUUCACCGCUAGUGCCACCUGGGGAUUUGCUACCUGUCAUGCAUGCUAAGUCACUUUGGUCAUGUUUGAGGUUUCGUGACCCUAUAGACUGUAGCCUGCCUGGCUCCUCAGUCCAUGGGGAUUUGCUACCUUACCCAAAAGCAAAAGCGAAACACCAGUGAGCAAGAAACCCUAUGAACAAGCAACACCUAACGAUAAUUAGAUCCCUGACAUACAUGGAAAGUAUUUAGAACAAGGACAGCCACAGAAUAAUUUUUCUACAAAUACUAUCAUCAUCAUCAUCCUCAUCAUCAAUGUUUCCCAGUUUGGAUUGGAUAAUAAUGAGGAGCUGAGACAUCUGCCAAUGAAAUUCUCUGCCAUUGUACAUCAGUAGCCUCCUAUUACUCUAGGAUGAAUUAAGCUCUGAAGUGACAAGUUGAGUCAGAACUUGGACCAGUCCCCUAAUGAAAGCAAAUACAAGUGUUUUCACUGCCAUCUGAUUUGAAAGGGAAUAGUCAGGAUUCCAGGGAAGAGAAGGAAAGACUCUAGUGAAUUAGGGCUUUGCGGGAAGUGGAGAGAAAAUGGAGAAGUUCCCAGGCCUUUUGGGCACUCCCACUCCUUCCCUGUGACCACUGGUCUGCUCUUCCCUACAUGCACUGCUGAGAUUUGAAGUGAAGCCUAUGUCCUGGUGGGUCAGAACUGUGCAGUCAGACCGGCAUGGGCUCAAGUCUCAGGCAAGCCACUUAUAGUUGCUUGAUCCGUGUAUGUGUGUGUGUGUGUGUGUGUGUUAGUCGUUUAACAUUAAAGUGAAAGUCGGUGGUGUCAGUGGUGUCAGUGGUGUCUGACUCUUUGCGACCCCAUGGACUAUACAGUCCAUGGAAUUCUCCUGGCCAGAAUACUGGAGCAGGUUGCCAUUUCCUUCUCCAGGGAUCUUCCUGACCUGGGGAUUGAACCCAGGCCUCCUGCAUUGCAGGCAGAUUCUUUACCAUCUGAGCCACCAGGGAAGCCCCUGUUUGAUCUUAGGCAGAUAAUUUAGUUUUUCUAGGUUUGAGUUUCCCAUUUUGUAAAAUGAGAGCGAUAGUACUUAUCUCAUCCAGUUAUGGCAAGAAUGGAGGUGAAGGUCCACAUUAAGUGAGACAGGGUGUGAUCUCAAUCACCACCAUCAUCAGCAUCAUCUUUAGAGAGACUGGGCAGGGAAGUGAGCCCAGACACUCGGUAGCACACUUCCAGCCCCAGCCCAGCUAGUGCACCCCAGUUAUUAGCUCCCAAGUUUUUGGCAGCCAAGUUCAUGCCAAUGACCUAGUUCAUAAUAAUAUUUACCUCAUGUCCGUGCCCUGAUGAUAAGGAGAAUUUUUGAAAGCCAAAAAGGCAGCAGACAUUUAAUGAACUUUCCCUUCUUCCCCAGGAUGGCUUCUGCACGUAUGUGCAGCGGGUAUAUUCAGAGCAGGCUGAUGCUCGGGCGCGACAGCGAGAGGCUUCCUUCCAGCUGCCUGCUGUGCUGCAGGGGCUGUCUUUCGGGGGUCCCGUGCUGCGCAUUCUCGCUGCGCCUGAUGACACCUUAAUCACGAUCAGAGAAGAUGGUGCCAUUUAUUUCUGGUCCCUGCAGCUGAAGUUGAAAAGAAGAAAGCGGGUUUUUGUAUGUGAUUCUCAUUUGAUAAGGAUGCUGAGUGCUCCAGUUUGAUUUUAUUUGCUAUUUUAAACUGCUCCUUGAGUGGCAUGAUUACAGAAAUUGUGUCCUUGAAUAUAAUAUAUUCAUGUUGGAUUUUGCCAGUCUAUGGGAUGCAAAUAUGAUCUGUAUAUGUAGGACAAGAUAAUUCUUCAUUCCGCUGCUAAAAUCAGAUGGAGUGAUGAAUUACACAUGAUUCCAUCAUGUAAUUUAUCAUGUCUUAAUGAAUGACAAAUGGAAAAGAAUUUUCCGUUUUUCUCCCUGUUAAUGGCUCUUUCAGUUUAGAUAGUUCUGGGAGAACUUACUGAAUCACAGAAUCAGAAAUUCAGAAGGCAAGAAGCACUGGGGAAGUACACUUAGGAAUAACAGUACCUGACCCAUUACAGAAUAGAGUCUAACUUUGAAGUCGUGUUUUAAUUACAUCUUUCAGCAAAUAGUUGAGCUCUUGUCGCUGCUCAGGUUCUAUGCUGGGUGCUGGGAAUAGAUGCCUGUUUCUGCCCUCAGGAAACUUAUCAUCCACCUAGUAGUUAUAGCUGAACUAUACCCCUCAGGCUGCCAAAUAAACCCUCCCUAGAAGUGAAGUCGCUCAGUCGUGUCUGACUCUUUGCGACCUCAUGGGCUGUAUCCUGCCAGGCUCCUCUGUUCAUGGGAUUUUCCACGCAAGAGUACUGGAAUGAGUUGCCAUUUCCUUCUCCAAAGGAUCUUCCCGACCCAGGGAUCGAGCCUCGGUCUCCCGCAUUCUAGGCAGACGCUUUACCAUCUGAGCCACCAGGGAAGGAGAGAAUAAAGUCAAUCCCUCAAGUCUAUGUAGCAAGUUCUCUAUACAGGCAAAUCUUGGUUUACUACAUUCCACAGAUACUGUAUUUUUUUAUAAAUUGAAGGUUUGUGGCAACCCUCUUAUUGAGCAAGUCUAUCAGGGCCAUUUCCCCAACAGUAUUUGCUCACUUUGUGUCUCUGCGUCACAUUUUGGUAAUUCUUGCAAUAUUUCAAACUUUUUCAUUAUAUAUCUGUUGUGGUGAUCAAUGAUCAGGGAUCUUUGAUGUUACUAUUGCAAAAAGAUUACUACCCACUGAAGGCUCAGAUGGUGCCUAGCAUUUUUAACAAGAAAGUAUUUAUUUAUGUAUGUAUUUUUAAUGGAAGUAUGAUUACGUUACAGUGCUGCAUUGGUUUCUACCAAACAACAAAGUGAAUCGGCCAUAAAUUGACCCAAGUCCCCUCCCAAGAAAGCAUUUUUUAAUGAAGAUGUAUACAUUGAUUUAAAAAAAAAAACACAUUGCACACUUAAUAGACUAUCAGCAUAAUGUAAACAUAGCUUGGUCUGCCCAGGGAAACCAGAAAAUUCACAUGACUCACUUCAUCACAGUGGUCCACAAUAGCUCCAAGAUGUACCUAUACUUGGGGGUGAAAGGAAACUGAAGAAACCUGUAGAAUGUUAAGUACGUGUAUUAUGGACCAGAGUGGCUUGAGACAACUGAAACUGUCUUAUCAUUAAAAAGUUUUAUUUUUGUACAUUUCCAUCCUUCUACCCUUUAGGACAAGCCCAUUAUUCGGAAGUCUAGGUGGGUGACGGAUGUUACCAUCAUGCCCCAGUACAACAAACUGAUCCUAGGGACUGGGUGCGUGUCUUUGGCUGUUCAGCUAGGACAAGAAUCAUCAUUGGUCUGUGAAAUUCAUUUCCAUGUGUGGGUUUACACAGACAUAUUCAGGUUUAUGAUAAUAGGAUAAAGAAUGAAGCCCUUUAAAAAAUAUACUAGAACUCAUACAUCAUCAAAGCUGCUGUGCAAAGAAAGCUAUCAGUUUGUCUGGCCAAUUGCAAUGAUAUUGUCAUUGUCUCAAAUUGAUAGUCCUCUUCUGGAAUACUUCCAGAGUGAGAAAAAAAUGUCAUUACAUUUUAGCACCCUUUAUUUUAGAUUCAAAAUAAUGCUGCUAUUUUAUUAGCCACCAAAAUCUAGUCCAAAAGACUUUGGACUGAUUCAAAAAAUAAAAUCCACAGUGAAAACUAUACUCACUGGUGGAGAGCCUCUAAAGAAUGGGCCUUGGAAGAAUGGCCUCCAGCUGUGAAGGAAUAUACUGAAGAUUUUGAUCAAGGGCAACAUAAAGAUUGAAGGCAGGAGGAGAAGGGGACGACAGAGGAUGAGAUGGUCGGAUGGCAUCACCGACUUGAUGGAUAUGAGUUUGAGCAAGCUCUAGGAGUUGGUGAUGGACAAGGAAGCAAGGCAGGGAACGGAAGCCGCAGGCAAGCCUGGCAGGGAGGGAAAGCCUGCAGGGAAGCUGUUGUCAGUCCAUGGGGUUGCAAAGAGUCGGAAACGACUGAGCAACUGAACUGAACUGAACAGAAUGAAAGUAGGCUUCCCUGCUGGCUCAGCCAGUAAAGAAUCCACCUGCAAUGCAGGAGACCUGGGUUCCAUCCCUGGGUCAGGAUGGUCCCCUGGAGAAGGGAAUUGCUACCCACUCCAGUAUUCUUGCCUGGAGAAUUCUACGGACAGAGGAGCCUGGAGGGCUGGAGUCCACAGGGUGGUAAAGAGUCAGAUACGACUGAGCGACUAACACUUUCAAAAUAAUGAAAAUAAAUGUGCAGCAUCCUGGGCACCGCUUGAGCAACCUCAGUAAUGCGCCAAGGCAAGGGCGUGUACAGCUUGGUGGGAAGGAAUUUUGGGAAACUCCAAAUUAAGGCAAAAGCGACCAGGGGAGGGUGAACUGUGAUGGGAGUGGUGGGUGUGUCCAGGCUGAGGAAUUAGACUGUUUAGCAUGGGGCCUUGGGCUCCAAAAUCACUGCAGGUGGUGAUUGCAGCCAUGAAAUUAAAAGACGCUUACUCCUUGGAAGGAAAGUUAUGACCAACCUAGAUAGCAUAUUCAAAAGCAGAGACAUUACUUUGCCAACAAAGGUCCAUCUAGUCAGGGCUAUGGUUUUUCCAGUGGAUAUGUAUGGAUGUGAGAGUUGGACUGUGAAGAAAGCUGAGUGCCGAAGAAUUAACUGUGGUGUUGGAGAAGACUCUUGAGAGUCCCUUGGACUGCAAGGAGAUCCAACCAGUCCAUUCUAAAGGAGAUCAGUCCUGGGUGUUCAUUGGAAGGACUGAUGUUAAAGCUGAAACUCCAAUACUUUGGCCACCUCAUGCAAAGAGCUGACUCAUUGGAAAAGACCCUGAUGCUGGGAGGGAUUGGGGGCAGGAGGAGAAGGGGACGACAGAGGAUGAGACAGCUGGAUGGCAUCACUGACUCAAUGGACAUGAGUUUGAGUGAACUCCGGGAGUUGGUGAUGGACAGGGAGGCCUGGCGUGCUGCGAUUCUUGGGGUCGCAGAGUCCAAUACGACUGAGCGACUGAACUGAACUGAACUGAGCAUGGGGCUGGGGGCGUGGCUACAUGAAGGAGUGGAGGUUGAAUGUGGUUUCCAUCGCCCUGCCUGACCGUCUUCAGACUGCUCCUUCCACCUCCGACUCCUCCCAAACCCAAACUUUCCUCCUUUAGCAGCCCCUGGUUCCCUAGGCCUCAGUGACGUUAGCUAACAGUUAAUAUAACCCCACAUCUUCCAGGCUCUCAAAUACAAUUAAAUUUAAUAUUAAGUUUAAUUAUUAAAACAUAUUAGCAUGUUAAUAUUACUCAUAUAAUUAAUAUCAACCAUUAAAAAACAACAAAUUUGGAUUUCUAAAUUCAGCCCCGUUUGAUUUGAAAAAGCCUGUUCAAUAGCUUUAAUUACCAUGUCUUCUACACACAUAGAAAUUCAGAGAUUAAAGCAGUAACUUCCUAGAGACUCUCUGAGCCUGCAAAUGGGAAAAUAAGGCAAGACAAAUGACUCUGGAGGCAGCGAACCACUCUUGAGCUGCGUGGCAGGUGGAAAGGAAGUGGGAAAACUACACUAAGCACUGAUGGCAAGUAAGGCAAGGCUUCGGAAUUUACGGAGUGACCCCCCCCCCACGCACACCCCCGCACACAUACACGUGUGUUCCAUGUGAGCAGGCUGGAGCAGCCGGCGGUUUCUCUUACACCCACAAGCUUGUUCUUUCAGUCAGCUCCUGGGUGGACAGGCUGACAUAGGAGGAAGGGGUCAAGGACCCAAGUUAAGGAGGACUGAGCAGGGAACUGAGUCCUUGACUCUCCACUGUGUGGCUCUGAUCAUCUGUAUUAUUAGCAGCAAAAAUCAGUUCACGUUUUUGGGCACUCAAGUCCCAGGUAUCAAGCUAACUACUUUCUCACAUACCCUCUCGUUUAAUCCCAGUAACUCUCCUGUAAGACAGGCAUGAGCCCCAUUUUACAGACGAGGGAACUGUGUGAUGAGCUGGGAUCUGAUGUCCCAACUAUUGGCAUCCAGAGCCCAUGUUGUUGGGAAUCAGCCUCCUGAUGGGGAAUAUGGGUGCCAUGACCAGUUCAGAACCAGAUGGAAAUGAUGUCCCCAAAGGGUGGAGCUGGGGAGGAAGCCUCCAGCUCAGCAAGGGGCCAUGCUCAGGAAGGCAGGUGUUUCACUAGUCAGCUGUUUCUGUUUUGUGGAAUCCGUGCAUUAUAAAAAAUGCUCUAUAUAAAAAUCAAGUGGGAAAUUGGAAGUUUACUCCAAGUGUGCUGAUCUCUGAACAGAAACCGUGAAAUCCAGCUGUAUGAACUCUCUAACUUGGAGCCGUACUAUCAGGUUGGUGGCCUGGAAGCUGUUGCGCUGAAACUGAACUACCGGUAAGAAAGAGGCAUCUCCAGGGCCAGGCAGCAUGCCUCUCCCCUGAGCACCAAAUCCUCCCUUCUCUCUCUGUGGACAGUUAUGCACACUUGUGCUCUAUCAGCGGGUGUCCUGGCUCUCAUGGAGCCUGUCAUGCCUGUGUCACUGGUCACGGUGGCGCCCAGAAAGGAGGGGCCUUCCUGCAUCUGUGGAGGAAAGGGAGGCCCAGAGAGGCGAAAUGGUUUCUGCUGAUGAGAUUAUGAAUUAAUCCAUGUUUUAAAUGUGGAUAUGUUAAUUUUCCUGAAACCCGACUCUGACCUUGUUACUCUGCUUUUGAGUGGUUGCCAAGUCCUUCUCCAAUAAUAUUCACACCUUUCAGUGGCACCCAAGCCUCCCCUCCCCACUGCCAUUCUAGCCUCCCUCUGCACCAGGCCUUCAGGGCCAACCUAAACAAAGACCCUUCAACUCCGGUCAGGCAGGUCACUGGAUGCUCUGGAUGCUGUUCCGCUCCCCAGCCAUCCUUCCCAUCAUCUUUCUAAUAUGUGCCUGACCUUGCUGGAUAUGGGGACACAUAUGAAUAAGACAUGGUUCCCAAAAGCUCUCACUGUCUCACAGAGACGGUGGGUUCUGCAAAAAUCCUACCAUUCUUUACGGCCCAAAUGGUAUCUUCAUGACGUCCCCUGAAUCUGCUUCUCACCCAGAAACCGAGUGUCCCCCUGGAAGCAUCCCUGGUCUGUGGCUGUGGGCCCUUACAGACAUCACUGGUACAAAGUCCUGAGUAACCCACAGGUGGCACCCACGCUUCAGUCUUUGCCCUGUGCUCUCUGCCACCUACACACAGACUGGUCCAUAGUAGGCUCUCAAGGAACACUUGUUGAAUAAUCACCUCAGAAAUCUCUUACUGAUUUCAAAAGGAGGAUCCAGUUUUAUUUCGCCUUUUCUGUGCCCCCCACCUUUGCUUUUCUUGCUGCUUGAAGAUUUCAGUAAAAUGUAUCUUUCAUUAGUUUUCUUCCACCUAUCAUUUUGUAUAUUGAGGAAUAUGGAGAAAAGUUGAUGGAUUUAGAAGGAAGUAGCUGAAAACCAAACUUGCAGCAGACCGUGUUCCUGUAGAACAAAGACAGACCCCUUCCCCAGCGCCUCUCCUGCACAGGCGUGGCCCCUCCUGAGGCCUCCUUCCUCUCCAGAGGGAGGGGUGUGUACACCCACCCCACCCCCGGAGGUUAGGGUAGGAUAGGAGGCGCUGGAGCGCUGGGGAAUCCAGGUGCCCAGCCUACAGUGAGGGCAUUGCCAUAAUGAGUUGGCUUUUACCUAAGACAUCUGAGAGUUGCCUGGAAAAUGAUUGAUUGUGUUAGCACUGCUUUUUAGAAAGGCCACUUUGAUGAGAGAAGAAAAAGGACACCCUUGAGAGAGCGUGUGCAGGCCCAGCGAAGCAAGUAUAUAGCUCAGCCUGGCUGUGCGUGCCUCCUGUCUCCCAGCUCCUGGGCCAGACCCCAGCUCCCCACAUCAGAGGAUGCUGGGCUCCUCCUGGGUAGGUCAGAGCCUCUGGGGAAGGCAGGACUUUGUCGUGGACUCAGAUCUCAGCAACUUCACUCAUCUCUGGGGACACUGUGGUCCCAGGACAUCAUGAAGACUUUGUUCUACCCCAGCUCUCUUGGGGCUUGGAGCUGAGGGUGGGGACGCAUCUUUUGCUAUGGGCUAAGGAUUCAGAAAUUGAACUCAGAGGGCACCCAGCCUCAAGGGGAGCACAGCCUGGUGAAUGUGAAUGUGUAAAUCUGCUGGGACUUCCAUAACAAGAUAUCACUGGGUGCCUUAAACAACAGAAAAUCAUUUUCUCACAGUUCUGGAGGCUGGCAAGUCCAAGAUCAAGGUGACAAUCCCUUCUGUUUCUGGCCAGGGCGCUUCCUGGAUUGCAGACAGCCACCCAGUCGCCUUCUCACCGUGUCCUCGCAUGACCUUUCCUUGGUGGGUUGUAUGGGGGCGGGGGGAAUGUUGCUCUAUGGGGUCUCUUAACCCUCUCAUAAGAGCCCCAGCCUCAUGAACUCAUCUAACCCUAAUUACAUCCCAAAGACCCCAUCUCCAAAUACCAUCACGUUGGAGGUUAGAGUUUUAACAUAUGAAUUUUGGGGGGACACAAACAUUUUAUCCACAAUAGUGAAUAUUUACUGACUUGGGGUGUACAUUCCAAUCAGUUACCUCUCCCUUAAUGAGGGUGGGAUGGAGCAAUGGCAUUGGCCAUGUAAUCAACCAAUGGGACUGUUUGUUGAUGAUGUCAUUCUCUGAGAGCUUCUCCGUUGGACUAGGAAUGAGGUUUAGGAUGCCCUCCAUGCCUCUGACAUGGAGACUAGUUUUCUUUUCUUUUUUUCUUUCACCAAGAUUUAGCUUCUGUGUGUGGGUGCUCAGUCAUUCAGUCAUAUCUGACUCUUUGUGACCCCGUGGACGGCAACCCUCCAGGCUCCUCUGUCCACGGGAUUUCCCAGGCAAGAAUACUGGAGCGGGUUGCCAUUUCCUUCUCCAGGGGAUCUUCCCAACCAAGGGAUCGAACACGCAUCUCCUGCAUUGACAGGCAGACUUUUUACCACUGAGCCACUGGGGAAGCCCAUUUAGCUUCUGGACACACCCAAAGGAAAACCGAUUUGAAACAGCACUUAUAACUGGCAUAGACUGGACCUGGGUGUGUGUUGUGGGGUGGGGUGUCUCUGUGUUGCCCUAAAACCUCCCUUAAGGACUGUUGACUUGGCUCCUUACCAAAUUCUUGCUAAGCAGCCAGAACAUAAACUUUGUGUUUUAUCUCCAUUUCGUCUCACCACUGCCUCUCACACCCAGACCUGAUCACUUAGAGCGAUAUUAGAACCAGCACAGUAUUUAUCAUAAUUUCCUGGGCAAGUAGGGUUCUGAUAAGUACAAUGAUAGCUAGUUAUAGAGACUGAAGGCUCCAGGGAGCAUUAAUCAUGGUGUCUGAGUGCAUUUGUGGGAGCACAUUGUAAACUAAUUGGCAUGUGCGGAGCCCCCUCUGUUAUUACCUUUAAUACACAAUUUCACAAACAACUUCUUUUUUGUUGCUUUCACACCACUGCAGACACAUUCGAAAGUAUGUCUCAGCUUUAAAAUGUUUAGCUAUAAACCAAAAUAGGAAAAUAACAGAAAUAUUUCUGAUGAGUGAUAAAUGUAUCUGCCUAGUAGAUCCCUUAGGUCAUAGAAGACAUUCAAUAGCUGUUUUUGACUAAAUAGAUGAAUACAUAAAAAGUAAGUAUUUUUUUAAUCUCAGCUUGAUCAACUGCUAAUUCAUCUACUAACUUAGGGCAAGAUAUUGUCCUCUUCAAAUAUAAACUAACAAUAGAAGAAGGGGAGAAGAAAACCACUUAGCUAAGAGACAUGUCAUUACUACCCGCAGAGGAGUUCUCGGAAGAAAACUUCAGUACACCGAGGUACUUUUCCUUCAGUUCCUAGUGUGCAGAGAGUGUUUAUCAUGAGAGAAUGUUGAAUUUUGUCAAACACUUUUUCUGCACCUAUGGAGACCAUCAGGUGGUUUUUGUCCUUCGUUUUGUUGACGUGAUGUAUCCCAUUAAUUGAUUUCUGUGUCUCUAGCCAUCAUUCCUUUCAGCGUGCUUCUGGAUUUGGUUUGCUAGUAUUUUGUUGAGGAUUUUUUGUGUCUACAUUCAUCAGGGAUAUUGAUGCGUUGUUUUCUUUUCUUGUGGUGUCUCUGUCUGGCUCUGACAUCAGGGUAAUCCUGGCCUUGUAAAAUGAGUUUCAAAGUGUUCUUUCUUCUUCAGUAUUUUGGAAGUUUUUGAGAAGGAGUGGUUCUAAUUAUUUUUUAAAGUGUUCAGUAGAACUCACCAGUACAGUCGUCUGGCUCUGGGCCUUCAGUUAAAUUUCUGUACUAGCCAUACGUCUGCUCAGCCUUUCCAUUUCUUCAUGAUUUAGUCUUGGUAAAAUUUCACGUUUCUAAGAAUCUGUCCAUUCUUUUAGGGUAUCCAGUGUGUUGGCAUAGAACUGUUCACAGCUGUAUUUCUGUUGUUUCAGUGUGAUGUCUCUUCUUUCAUUUCUAAUGUUAUUUAUUUGAGUCUUCUCUUUUUUUUCUUAGUUAAUCUGGCUAAAGUUUUAUAAAUAUUUUAAUCUUUU